rnacentral:rRNA from 1 species
CCGACCUGAGAGGGUGAUCGGCACCCUGGGACUGAGACACGGCCCAGAUUCCUACGGGAGGCAGCAGUAGGGAUCUUCCGCAAUGGACGAAAGUCUGACGGAGCAACGCCGCGUGAGUGAUGAAGGUUUUCGGAUCGUAAAGCUCUGUUGUUAGGGAAGAACAAGUGCCGUUCAAAUAGGGCGGCACCUUGACGGUACCUAACCAGAAAGCCACGGCUAACUACGUGCCAGCAGCCGCGGUAAUACGUAGGUGGCAAGCGUUGUCCGGAAUUAUUGGGCGUAAAGGGCUCGCAGGCGGUUUCUUAAGUCUGAUGUGAAAGCCCCCGGCUCAACCGGGGAGGGUCAUUGGAAACUGGGGAACUUGAGUGCAGAAGAGGAGAGUGGAAUUCCACGUGUAGCGGUGAAAUGCGUAGAGAUGUGGAGGAACACCAGUGGCGAAGGCGACUCUCUGGUCUGUAACUGACGCUGAGGAGCGAAAGCGUGGGGAGCGAACAGGAUUAGAUACCCUGGUAGUCCACGCCGUAAACGAUGAGUGCUAAGUGUUAGGGGGUUUCCGCCCCUUAGUGCUGCAGCUAACGCAUUAAGCACUCCGCCUGGGGAGUACGGUCGCAAGACUGAAACUCAAAGGAAUUGACGGGGGCCCGCACAAGCGGUGGAGCAUGUGGUUUAAUUCGAAGCAACGCGAAGAACCUUACCAGGUCUUGACAUCCUCUGACAAUCCUAGAGAUAGGACGUCCCCUUCGGGGGCAGAGUGACAGGUGGUGCAUGGUUGUCGUCAGCUCGUGUCGUGAGAUGUUGGGUUAAGUCCCGCAACGAGCGCAACCCUUGAUCUUAGUUGCCAGCAUUCAGUUGGGCACUCUAAGGUGACUGCCGGUGACAAACCGGAGGAAGGUGGGGAUGACGUCAAAUCAUCAUGCCCCUUAUGACCUGGGCUACACACGUGCUACAAUGGACAGAACAAAGGGCAGCGAAACCGCGAGGUUAAGCCAAUCCCACAAAUCUGUUCUCAGUUCGGAUCGCAGUCUGCAACUCGACUGCGUGAAGCUGGAAUCGCUAGUAAUCGCGGAUCAGCAUGCCGCGGUGAAUACGUUCCCGGGCCUUGUACACACCGCCCGUCACACCACGAGAGUUUGUAACACCCGAAGUCGGUGAGGUAACCUUUAUGGAGCCAGCCGCCGAAGGUGACAGAUACUGA